rnacentral:rRNA from 1 species
UACUGCAUUUUUUCUUACACAUGUGUUUUUCUUUUUUUGAAAACUUUGCUUUGGUAGGCCUUCUAUAUGGGGCCUGCCAGAGAUUAAACUCAACCAAAUUUUAUUUAAUGUCAACCGAUUAUUUAAUAGUCAAAACUUUCAACAACGGAUCUCUUGGUUCUCGCAUCGAUGAAGAACGCAGCGAAAUGCGAUAAGUAAUAUGAAUUGCAGAUAUUCGUGAAUCAUCGAAUCUUUGAACGCACAUUGCGCCCUUUGGUAUUCCAAAGGGCAUGCCUGUUUGAGCGUCAUUUCUCCCUCAAACCCUCGGGUUUGGUGUUGAGCGAUACGCUGGGUUUGCUUGAAAGAAAGGCGGAGUAUAAACUAAUGGAUAGGUUUUUUCCACUCAUUGGUACAAACUCCAAAACUUCUUCCAAAUUCGACCUCAAAUCAGGUAGGACUACCCGCUGAACUUAAGCAUAUCAAUAAGCGGAGGAAAAAG